AACUACUCCCACACUGGGACGACGGACUGUAAGCUGAACGUCGAGUUGGACUGAGGGAGGACUUGUAGGCUACUACAUUAACACACCCGAGGAGUCAAGCCUCAUCUGACGUUUCAUCAUGGCCGACAUGGCCGAGAGUCAGUUUUCUCUGAUGAGUCUGGAGGAUGAACUGACCUGCAGCAUCUGUCUGAGUCUCUUUGACUGUCCGGUGACCAUCCCCUGCGGACACAACUUCUGUCAGGAAUGUCUCCUUGCCACCUGGAAGGACUCGUACAGCUGUCCUCAGUGUCGGACCCACUUCGCCACCAAACCGGAGCUGAAGAAAAACACGGUGCUCAGCUCCGUUGUGGAGACUUUAAACUUGAGUUCGAGCAAGAGUUUGGCGGGCCUGAAAGAAACGUCAGAGGAGAGGGAUGAAGCCGCGAAACAGGAUGUCAUACGCUGUGAUACAUGUAUGGAAGCAGAUGCGUCCCAGACCUGCCUGACCUGCAUGGCUUCUUUCUGCGAGGAGCACCUGCGGCCCCACCGGGAAAACCCGGUCUUUCGUCUCCACCAACUGAUUGAGCCUGUGGGCGACCUGUCGGAGCGUAUCUGCCCGGACCACCACAAGCUGAUGGAGCUCUUCUGCAGCCAACAUGGCCGCCCAAUCUGCAGCCUCUGCCUCCAGCAGGUGCACAAAGGCUGCUCCUUCAUUUCUCCUGAGGAGCAGAGGAACCUGAAAGAGUCCGACCUGAGAAGCAAGUUAAGUUUGUUGGACGGGAAGAUUAAGAAGAAUGAGAACGUUUUAUCGUUAAUGGGUGACAUGCAGGACAAACUGAAGGACUCGGCGACCAACAGGAAGUCUGCUUUGACAGCUGAGUAUCAGCAGAUUCGUGAUAUGUUGGCUCGAGAGGAGCGUGACGCUCUGAUCACAGUGGACCGCGAGCUGGAAGGUGGUCAGACCAAACUUAAGGGUCUGGCGAAGAAGUUCAACGACAACGUUGACACUUUGAGCAAAGCUAGAGAAGAUAUCCUCAGUCUGCUGAGUCAGUCCCAAACUCUGGCCUUCCUACAGGCUUCGUUUAACCUGCCCUCGGCCGUCAACUUUGAACCUCACACCCCUCGAAUCAACCUGGACUCCAAGAAAGUGACGGCAGCACAGGCCUUCUCUGCUGCCCUGAAGGAGCAUCUGACAGACAUCCUGAAGCAGCCGGUUGACGCCAGACUGCUGAAACUUAAUCCAGAGCUUAACACUGGCAUUGUUGCGUCUGAUGAGAAAGCAGGUCCUGGGUUGACAACCGCGAGUUCUGGAAGUACCGGAUCUCAGCCAGAACCUGAAGUAACCAAGCCGCCAAAGCAGAAAAGAGCGCCCAGGUCCCACAGUCCAGGUCGUCCACCCAUCCAGCCAUUCUUCCAGCCAGCUCCUGGACCUGUUUUUCUGGGGCCACAUGGCUAUCGACACCAGCAUCCGCUCCAUCCACAAGGCCCUUUCAGGGGUUCUCAAUUUAUGGCAGGACAAAGGCCAGGAGCUUAUCGAGGAGGUUUACCUUUCAACCCUACCCAGGAAACUGAGCUGCAGUGGACAGACCAAGGUUUUCAACCCAAAGUAGGCACAAAGAAGAAGCCUCAAAAACAAAAACCUCCCCAAGCCACAGAAGCCAACAUGGGAAAAAAGGAUCAAGCCCGUUCCAUGGAAAACCUGUUGGAGUUUGGUGGGAACAACAAACCGGAAGGCUGUAGUCCUGCGGCCGAAUCCAAAGAGCAACCAGAAGCGUCAGACAUUCCCCCAAACAUAACAUCGGCUGAGAAAAGAAGUGAACUUAUGAAAUAUGGCACGAUACUCACUUUGGAUCCAAAGACAGCCCACAAACGCAUCGCACUGAGCGAGGGCUUCACUAAGGCCUCUGUGUCAGACGAGCACGCAAACUACCCCGACUGCCCUGAACGCUUUGCCGUCUGCUCCCAGGUGCUCGCCUCCAAGGGUUUCUCUAGAGGGCGCCACUACUGGGAAGUCCGACUGAGCAGCAGCAACUUCAUUGGCGUAGGCUUGGCCUACAGCAGCAUUGACCGCAAAGGUCCCACCAGUCGACUGGGCCGCAACGCCCAGUCCUGGUGCGUGGAGUGGUUCAACGUCAAGCUGUCGGCUUGGUACAACAGCAGUGAGACCGUGCUGGUCAAUCCCAAUCCAAAGCGCAUAGGCGUGCUGUUGGAUUGUGAGGAGGGCACUGCUACGUUCUACAACGUGGCCGACAGGGCGUACCCCUUCCACUCCUUUGUGUUUCCCUUUGCUGAAGCGGUGUAUCCAGCUUUCUGGAUUUUCUCAAGUGGCUCGUCCAUUUCUUUGUGCAAGCUGCAGGGAUGAGGAGCAUCUGCAAUUUAAUGGCAUAUGGAGGCGGGCACACACAUAUACACAGUCAAGCCUUUGUUCUAAUUGCGUCAACAUAUUGGAUAUACCAAAGAUUAGUUAAAAAGCAAAUUUUAGUCCACAGACAGCUCUAAGCAACACAGGUGUCAAUUAAUUAGAGUUAAUGGGAUGUCAUAGCUACUGUAAGUCCCUAGCUGUUGUUGUUAGCUAAGCUAGCUGUGAUUUACAAAAACAAGCUGGCUUUACAACACAGGAAGAGCAAUAUAUUCUGUGUUUUUGAUCCUACAAAGUGCAUCCCCAGUGCUUAGGACGCACUUAUGAGUUACAAACACUGUAUAAUUAAUUAAUUAAAAACAACAUAAAAAGCUAUAUUAUGUAUUGUGUAUGUAGUAGGAAUAAAAACGUAAUGUUUGAUGGCAAAAAAUGAGCAGCAUCUAUGAUCUGCUACUUCUUUCCUCAAACGUAAUAGAAGCCAAACGUAUACAGCAAGUAGUUAACGAUAUAACUCAGUCCCCUUCAGCCAGUUGCCUUGAUGGCCUGAAAAUAGGAGGAAUGGUAGCUGGGUUAUCUUGUGUUAGUUUCAGAGAUUUGAUCUACUUCCUCCUUUACUAGGAUCAUAAUAACACACACACACACAGAGCAGCACAGCGUACACUUACUGUACAGCGUGUGUAUGCAAGUGUGUCUCCUGUAUUGUGAAUGUGCCGGG